AUUGAACGCUGGCGGCAGGCCUAACACAUGCAAGUCGAACGAGUGGCGGACGGGAGAGUAAUGUCUGGGAAACUGCCCGAUGGAGGGGGAUAACUACUGGAAACGGUAGCUAAUACCGCAUACCAUCGGAUGUGCCCAGAUGGGAUUAGCUAGUAGGUGGGGUAAAGGCUCACCUAGGCGACGAACCCUAGCUGGGCUGAGAGGAUGACCAGCCACCCUGGAACUGACACACGGGCCAGACGCCGACGGGAGGCAGCAGUGGGGAUUAUUGCACAAUGGGCGCAAGCCUGAUGAGGCCAUGCCGCGUGUAUGAAGAAGGCCUUCGGGUUGUAAAGUACUUUCAGCGAGGGGGCGUUACUCGCAGAAGAAGCACCGGCUAACUCCGUGCCAGCGGCCGCGGUAAUAC
rnacentral:rRNA from 1 species